rnacentral:rRNA from 1 species
GACGAACGCUGGCGGCGUGCUUAACACAUGCAAGUCGAACGGAAAGGCCCUGCUUUUGUGGGGUGCUCGAGUGGCGAACGGGUGAGUAACACGUGAGUAACCUGCCCUUGACUUUGGGAUAACUUCAGGAAACUGGGGCUAUUACCGGAUAUGAUCUUCUGCUGCAUGGUGGGGGUUGGAAAGUUUCGGCGGUUGGGGAUGGACUCGCGGCUUAUCAGCUUGUUGGUGGGGUAGUGGCUUACCAAGGCUUUGACGGGUAGCCGGCCUGGGAGGGUGACCGGCCACAUUGGGACUGAGAUACGGACCAGACUCCUACGGGAGGCAGCAGUGGGGAAUAUUGCACAAUGGGCGGAAGCCUGAUGCAGCAACGCCGCGUGCGGGAUGACGGCCUUCGGGUUGUAAACCGCUUUCGCCUGUGACGAAGCGUGAGUGACGGUAAUGGGUAAAGAAGCACCGGCUAACUACGUG